UAGCAAUACCGACCGGCGAACGGGUGCGUAACACGUGAGCGACCUACCGUAGGUGUGGGGGAUAGUCGGCCUAACGGCCGGGUAAUACCGCAUACGUUCUCUAAUCGGCAUCGAUUGGAGAGGAAACCUUUCGGGCACUUUGAGGGGCUCGCGGCCUAUCAGCUAGUUGGCGAGGUAACGGCUCACCAAGGCGACGACGGGUAGCUGGUCUGAGAGGAUGGCCAGCCACAUUGGGACUGAGAAACGGCCCAGACUCCUACGGGAGGCAGCAGUGGGGAAUCUUGCGCAAUGGCCGAAAGGCUGACGCAGCGACGCCGCGUGUGGGAUGAAGCCCUUCGGGGUGUAAACCACUGUUGCCCGGGACGAAUAGCGGAUUUUCAUCCGCCUGACGGUACCGGGUGAGGAAGCACCGGCUAACUCCGUGCCAGCAGCCGCGGUAAUACGGGGGGUGCGAGCGUUGUCCGGAAUCACUGGGCGUAAAGGGCGCGUAGGUGGUUUGAUAAGGCUGUGGUGAAAGCCCGGGGCUCAACCCCGGGUCUGCCGUGGCGACUGUCAGACUGGAGGGCUCGAGAGGCAGACGGAAUUCCGGGUGUAGCGGUGGAAUGCGUAGAGAUCCGGAAGAAGACCGGUGGCGAAGGCGGUCUGCUGGCGAGUACCUGACACUGAUGCGCGACAGCGUGGGGAGCAAACAGGAUUAGAUACCCUGGUAGUCCACGCCGUAAACGAUGGGCACUAGGCGCUUGGGGGAUCGACCCUCUGAGGGCCGGCGCUAACGCAUGAAGUGCCCCGCCUGGGGAGUACGGCCGCAAGGCUGAAACUC
rnacentral:rRNA from 1 species